GCGGAGCUGGUCCGGGACGACGGCGUCCGCGUCACCGUCCGGGCGCCGUGGGCCGCACCCGGGGUACGGGACUUCGGCUUCGCCC
rnacentral:tRNA from 1 species